UGGGGAAUAUUGGACAAUGGGCGCAAGCCUGAUCCAGCAAUGCCGCGUGGGUGAAGACGGCCUGCGGGUUGUAAAGCCCUUUGGGUGGGGAAGAACGGUGGUUUGCGAACAGCGGACUGCUCUGACAUUACCCACGGAACAAGCACCGGCUAACUCCGUGCCAGCAGCCGCGGUAAUACGGAGGGUGCGAGCGUUAAUCGGAAUUACUGGGCGUAAAGCGUGCGUAGGCGGAAGGGUCAGUCAGCCGUGAAAGCCCCGGGCUCAACCUGGGAACGGCGGUUGAGACGGCCCGUCUGGAGUGGGCUAGAGGAUCGUGGAAUUCCGGGUGUAGCGGUGAAAUGCGUAGAGAUCCGGAGGAACACCGAUGGCGAAGGCAGCGAUCUGGGGCCACACUGACGCUGAGGCACGAAAGCGUGGGGAGCAAACAGG
rnacentral:rRNA from 1 species